UCAAGCGUCUCUAAGGGCAUUUGGUGGAUGCCUUGGCGUUGAGAGGCGAUGAAGGACGUGACACGCUGCGAUAAGCCAUGGGGAGCUGCGAGUAAGCUUUGAUCCGUGGAUUUCCGAAUGGGGAAACCCGGCCAUUUAGGUCAUCCCGCAAGGGAAGCAAACCUGGGGAACUGAAAUAUCUAAGUACCCAGAGGAAAGGACAUCAACCGAGACUCCGUUAGUAGUGACGAGCGAACGCGGACCAGGCCAGUGGCUUGAUAGAAGAUAACCAGAAGCGUCUGGAAAGGCGCGCCAUAGUGGGUGAUAGCCCCGUAUGGGUAAUGCUUUCUUCAAGUCCUUGAGUAGGGCGGGACACGUGAAAUCCUGUCUGAACAUGGGGGGACCACCCUCCAAGCCUAAGUACUCCUCAACGACCGAUAGCGAACCAGUACCGUGAGGGAAAGGUGAAAAGCACCCCGAUGAGGGGAGUGAAAUAGACCUGAAACCGAAUGCCUACAAUCAGUCGGAGCCACAUUAAGUGGUGACGGCGUACCUUUUGUAUAAUGGGUCAGCGAGUUACUUUGACGAGCAAGCCUAAGCCGUUAGGCGUAAGCGAAGCGAAAGCGAGUCUGAAUAGGGCGUUUAGUUCGUUUGAGUAGACCCGAAACCGGGUGAUCUAGCCAUGGGCAGGUUGAAGGUACGGUAACACGUACUGAAGGACCGAACCCACGUCUGUUGAAAAAGACGGGGAUGACCUGUGGCUAGGGGUGAAAGGCCAAUCAAACCCGGAGAUAGCUGGUUCUCUGCGAAAACUAUUUAGGUAGUGCGUCGUGUAUUACCGUCGGGGGUAGAGCACUGGAUGGGCUAGGGGGGCGCGAGCCUUACCAAACCUAACCAAACUCCGAAUACCGGCGAGUACAGCACGGCAGACAGACUAUGGGUGCUAAGGUCCAUAGUCGAGAGGGAAACAGCCCAGACCUCCAGCUAAGGUCCCUAAAUUGUGGCUAAGUGGGAAAGGAUGUGGGAAGGCCAAGACAGCCAGGAGGUUGGCUUAGAAGCAGCCAUCCUUUAAAGAAAGCGUAACAGCUCACUGGUCUAGACAAGCCGGCCUGCGCCGAAGAUGUAACGGGGCUAAAGCCACAUACCGAAGCUGAGGACGUGAUUUAUCACGUGGUAGCAGAGCGUUCUGUAGGCCUGCGAAGCGUAAUCGUGAGAUUGCGUGGAGGUAUCAGAAGUGAGAAUGCUGACAUGAGUAGCGAUAAAGAGUGUGAGAAACACUCUCGCCGUAAGCCCAAGGGUUCCUGCGCAAGGCUAAUCCGCGCAGGGUGAGUCGGCCCCUAAGACGAGGGCGAAAGCCGUAGUCGAUGGGAAUCAGGUUAAUAUUCCUGAACCUGUUGGUAGUGACGGAUGACGUAAGUUGUACAUGCUUAACGGAUUGUGUGUGCAGCGAAGUUGUCCCAGGAAAUAGCUCCAACAUUAAGACCGUACCCCAAACCGACACAGGUGGGCAGGUAGAGCAUACCGAGGCGCUUGAGAGAACGAUGUUGAAGGAACUCGGCAAAUUGCCCCCGUAACUUCGGGAGAAGGGGGACCUCCAUUUAGGCAACUAGGUGGAGGUGGCACAGACCAGGGGGUGGCGACUGUUUAUUAAAAACACAGGGCUCUGCGAAGUAGAUAAUACGACGUAUAGGGUCUGACGCCUGCCCGGUGCCGGAAGGUUAAGAGGAGGUGUGAGAGCUCCGAAUUGAAGCCCCGGUAAACGGCGGCCGUAACUAUAACGGUCCUAAGGUAGCGAAAUUCCUUGUCGGGU
rnacentral:rRNA from 1 species